ACUGCAGCAAAAACCCUUUUUAUUUUUUAUUACAUAUUUCCGCCCCCUCCUUCCUCUUUUUUUUUUUUUUUUUUCUCCUCUUCCCCCGCAAACGCUUCAAGGUGGACGCGGAGCGCAAAAAGACCUUUGUUUUAAAAAUGCCCAUGGAGCUGACACAAAGCCGCAUCCAGAAGAUUUGGCUUCCCAAUGACAACCGCCCGGCGCUGCCCCGCCGAUCCUGUGGGCCACAGCUUGCCAAUUCCCCCACUGUGAUAGUGAUGGUGGGCCUCCCAGCCCGUGGGAAGACCUACAUCUCCAAGAAGCUGACCCGCUACCUCAACUGGAUUGGUGUCCCUACAAAAGUUUUCAACGUGGGGGAAUAUCGCCGUGAGGCCGUGAAGCAUUACAGCUCCUACGACUUCUUCCGUCCUGACAACGAGGAGGCCAUGAAAGUCAGGAAGCAGUGUGCCAUGGCUGCCUUGAGGGAUGUCAAGCUGUACCUGACGGAGGAGGCUGGACAGAUCGCGGUUUUUGAUGCCACCAAUACCACGCGGGAGAGGAGAGGGAUGAUCCUAAACUUUGCCAAAGAAAAUGGAUUUAAGGUGUUCUUCAUUGAAUCUGUCUGCAACGACCCCACUGUGGUUGCCACCAAUGUUAUGGAAGUCAAAUUGUCCAGCCCAGAUUACCGGGACUGUAACUCCACUGAUGCCAUGGAGGACUUCAUGAAGAGGAUCAAUUGUUACCAAGCCAGUUACCAGCCACUCGACCCUGAUGACUAUGACAGGGAACUUUCUCUCAUCAAAGUCAUCGACGUUGGCCGGCGGUUCCUGGUCAACAGGGUUCAGGAUCACAUCCAGAGCAGGAUUGUUUACUACCUGAUGAACAUCCAUGUCCAGCCCCGCACCAUUUAUCUCUGUCGGCACGGAGAGAGCGAGUUCAACCUCCUGGGCAAGAUUGGAGGGGACUCUGGCCUCUCCAACAGGGGCAAGAAGUUUGCUCUGGCACUGAACAAAUUUGUAGAAGAGCAGAACCUGAAGGACCUCAAAGUCUGGACCAGCCAACUGAAAAGGACAAUCCAAACAGCAGAAGCUCUGCAGCUGCCCUACGAGCAGUGGAAGGCACUCAAUGAAAUCGAUGCUGGUGUGUGUGAAGAAAUGACAUAUGAAGAAAUCAGGGACCAACAUCCAGAGGAAUUCGCUUUACGUGACCAGGAUAAAUAUUACUACCGUUACCCUUCAGGGGAGUCCUACCAGGAUCUGGUGCAGCGCCUGGAGCCAGUCAUCAUGGAGCUGGAGAGGCAAGAGAACGUCCUUGUGAUCUGUCACCAGGCUGUCAUGCGCUGUCUCCUGGCAUACUUCCUGGACAAGAGUGCAGAUGAAAUGCCCUACCUGAAAUGUCCCCUUCACACGGUGUUGAAGCUGACCCCGGUAGCCUACGGCUGCCGGGUGGAAUCCAUCUCGCUGAACAUCGAAGCCGUCAACACCCACAGAGAUCGGCCAGAGGAAGCAAAGAAGGGACCUAACCCGCUCAUGAGACGUAAUAGCGUUACCCCUCUAGCAAGCCCAGAGCCCACCAAAAAACCUCGCAUCAACAGCUUUGAGGAGCAUGUGGCUGUUUCUUCCGCCCUGCCAGGCUGUGUUCCUCAGGAAGUGCCCACGCAGAUGCCGGGACAACCUUUACUAGGGAAGGCAUGCCUAAGACCCGUUUGUCACUUUCUCAAAGUUUUCUCUUUACUAAUAUUUCCAAGAACAUGAACAACUCGCAGAAGCCGUCGUGACUCCGUUGGCACUGUCGCGAGGCCGCCGGCGACGCCAGCUUCCCAUCCCACCGCCAUUCCCGAAGCUUGCUUAUCCACCGGUCUCCUCCGUCUGCGGCGAGGGCGACCCUCGGCUGUUCCUGCUCACGCCCGUUCAUCCGCAAACCGCUCUGCUGCCGGGGGGAGGGAUGCAGGAGAGCGGAGGAGAGGAGCUGAGCUCCCCCGGAGGGGGUCACCACCAGCUCUUCAGGCUGCAGCGUUUGCUCUCCUCUCCAGCGUCCUGUAGGGUCCUAGCGAAGCUGUAAAGUGCUUUCUAGCGUACAGGAGUUUUAAUUUUUCCUCUCUAAGUGGUUUUGGUCUUCUGUAUAGAUGAUUGGUAACCCACCUGUCUGCGGGUGGGGCGUGUAUAUAUGUGGAUGGUGCGGGGUUAGUGGAGAAAUAGGGGGAAGGGAGGGUGGGCAAAGGGUUUUUGCAUUAUUUUUUUUAAUUAUUAUUAUUAAUGAUUCUAGAUAAGCCCCUCCCAAGCUGUGCUGCAGUCCUUCACCCACACUACAGCCUGUUGCACACGCCAGCCCGGCUCACCUGGGUCUGCGAGCACCAGGAAGGCAGCUGUGUGAACUCCUUCACUGCUGGGUUUAACUAACAAACCCCAUUCUUUCAUUUUUUUUUUUUUAAUCAAUAACACCUUAAAGGGGUUUGCAGAGAAUGUAGAUCUGCUGCCAAAACUGGCUGCAAACUGCCUGUGGUGUAGGAGGAACUGCAUCGCUGGUGGCUUAGGUGAUACUUUCAUCUCGGGGAGCACCCAGAGGUGGUCUGAGUUCAGGUGUGGGUUGAUAUUUAGGGGGAGACUGUGCACUCUUUUGAGGUGCUGUGCUGGUACUUCAUCUCCCCUUUCCUCUUUCUUGGAGGAAAGCGGAGGUUUUGGGAGGGCUUUGAAUCCCUAGGCUGAGCUUAGAUGCAUUUUGUAGACACACAGGUCUCAUGGAGGUGGCCAGAGGUCUGGCCAGGUUGCAGGAGUCCCUGUCUGGCUGCAAAAAGCCACAAGAAGGGACAGUUUUGUCUGUAUUAUCUCUUUUUAAUUUUAUAUAUACAUGCACAUACAUGUGUGUGUGUGUAUGUGUAUGCAUAGAAACCGCUUGGUUUUUGCACUUUAUUUGUGGCAGGAGCAUAACUAUUGUAUUUUUUUUUUUUUUCAAGUCGUGCCCCUUAACAGGGGAAGCCUGAAUACAGGCAACUGUUUCUUUGUUUUUAAUUGUAUUUUGCAUGCUGGAAAGCUGGGACUACAAAAUAAUAGUAGUUACAGUGUUCAAGGUGUGUGUGGUGGUGGGGGGAAUGGGGUGAGGUCCUGACUUUGACUCCAUCAGCCAAACUCCCAGUGGUUUGAUACAGGAUAUUCCUUGUUGGCAGCCUGCCCUAGGCUGGGAGACAGCAGUUAAAAAUGGCAAUUAACCACUAUUGCUUUGUGCAAAAGUCUGUGGAUUUUGAGAUUAUCUUCUUUUUUAGGGGUUUUGAGUUGGGCUUUGGUUUGUUCCCCACCUCUGCGCAGCAUCUUCUCCAUCCCCAUCUCGUAGUUUUUUUGGCUGGAGGCAGGAGGUGAAGGCAAGCUGCCCCUCCUGCAGUGCUGGGCAGAGAGGUUUGGGGAGAAGUUAUGAUUUAUUUUUUGUGUGUGUGUAUGUUUUGUUUUUGGGGGGGGGGGGUUGGUCUGUUUUUCCUUUGGGAAAAGGCGAACCACAGUGCCUAACGCUUCAGCCUCGCGCUCGGAGCUGCACCGACGGCGGGAGGGGGCCGGGACCACGCUCAGCCCGUGUCCCACAGUGCCCUGCCUGUGUGAGCUUGUGCAUAUGUGUAUUAUAUUCCUGUACAGAUGAAACCAAGAACACUUUUCCCCCCUACUUCAUUAAUUUCUUAAUAGCCUCAUUAAAAGCAGCCUCUUUCUCACUGUGUGCACGGGUGGCGUCUGCCCUUUCGGUUUCUCUGCCUUUGAGAUAAACGAAUGUUUUGGGGAGGUGACUCCACUUGGCUUUUCCAACCUCCUUCCUGGGGAGUUUUAUCUCCCUCCUCCUGCUGCAAAAAGAUAAGCCAGCAAAUACAAACAUGACGUCUGGCUGCCCCGAGAUCAACCCUGUACACAUGUAAUUCUGCGGAUGUUUUGGUGUGUAUUUGUGUGUGUAUAUAUAUAUAUAAAUUUUUAUAUAUAUAUAUAUAUAAAAAAAAAAAAAGAAAAAAAUGGCCCUAAACUUUCUUCCUUUGGGAAUAAUAGAUGUCUCAGUAGGUCCAUGAAAAAAUGAAAUUUGAACAUGGCAUUUUCUCCAGCAAUGGGAAAACUGGUCUCUCAGGUCCUCUCGUGCUGGAGGGGUUGGUGGGAUGGUGCCAUCACACUGCCCCAAAAACUCACUGCCCAUUGCUUUUGGUUAACAGCCAAGGCAGGGUGGGAGAGAGGACUUGUCAAACCACACCAGUGAUUUCUUCCCCCUUCUUUUUCCCCUGGUUUUGUUUUCCUUUGUGAUACUUGAAUUUAUUUUUUUAAUUUUUUUUGAUAGCAAAGCGCUCUUUAUUUAUUUAAUGUACACUGCAAAGCUUGGAGAGAAGGGUGUAGUUACUUGGGGUUACUUUUUUUCAUUUGUGGUAUGUUAACUGUUCUGUAUAUAGGUCUGGAAUAAUUGCCUGAUAUAAAGCUGUGCCAGCUUAAAAACAGGGUCUGCCUUUCAGAAAUUUGUAUAUUUUGCAGUUGCUGGACCAAUAAAAUACCUUGUUGAAAUACA